UUAGCACUUUCAGGGGUCCUCACUUACGCAGUGAGGCUAGAGUACAUGGCUGGUGCUGAGAGAAAACUCUUGAUUAUGUCCUUGCCCAGGGACUCUAUCAUUGUCACCCAUCAGUCAAUGGGACAGAG
rnacentral:snoRNA from 1 species